rnacentral:lncRNA from 1 species
GAUACCUCACUUGAGGUUGACAGGAGUGGCCAGCAGUUAGUGCCUAUGGUCAUGUAAUACACUAAGUCAAUACCUGUGGAGUGAAAUCCGGUCUCUAUAAAAAAUACAAAAAAAAUGGCGUGAGCCACCGUGCCCAGCAUGGUAUUUAUGAUUCUAAGUGCCAUUUCAAAAAUCUGUUUGCUCUUUUUUAUUCUCUGGUCCACUAAAGAGUAAUCUUUACUGUGGGCUUUAUUUCAUAUUUUUAUUUGUCCUAAUACUAAGUGGUAGCUUCUCAUUUCUCUGUUUCUUGAUUUUGGAGAGCAAGUCUAUGCUUAUCUAUAGAAAUAAUCAGUUUGUAAACUUAUGUUCUCCUUGAAGAGUUUUUGAAUUUUCAUGUGGCA